AUUAAAACUUGUUCUAGUAUUAGUAGGUUUAGAGUUGUGAAAAUAGACUAUCCCGUCUACGGUUUUAGUUAUAGUGGGCCUCUAAUUUUCUAAUAUUAUAAUAUAAGAAAACUAUAUCUUUUUCAACUUUCAAUCUGGUGCUGCCAAGUGGCUUCCUGUGAACACAAUAUUCCAUUCUUCAGAAGGCGCCACAUCACUAUUGAUUUCUCAACCUUCCAUCAGUUACUAUUUCUCAAUCUGAGUUCUUGUUUCUUCUGCCUUCCACCUUCCAUCGGUUAAUGAUAUUUACUUCACUCAACCUUCCACUUCUAGCAGUUACACGUAUAUGCAGACUCUUUCUCUCUUUCUUUCUCUCACGUCCUCUCUCUCCUUCUUCCUCCUCUUCUUUCUUCUUCUUCUUCUUCUUCUUCUUCUUCUUCUUCUUCUGCUUCCUUUUUCCUCUUCUUUCCAAGCCGUAAUGAUACCGUCAAAGUUCUUUCAAUAACAAAUCAAGAUCCUAUCUGUAACACAUUGCUAACAAGUCCUAACCGAAGCCGAUAAAAUUAUUGAACUCAAUCAUACAUAUGCAAUUUCGUAUCUUGUCACUGGUGUUUGAUUUCACUAACUGAUGUUGUUUUUCACAGGAAUUGAACAUUGGUAGCUUAACUGGUGUUGAGCUUCUUAAAUAUUUUUCUGGUUUUCGAAUUCAAGUUUUAUAAGAAGCUUUGAGGUUUGAAGAUGGUCGAGAUUGGAGCAAUUCUCUUCCUUCUUCUAUUUGGUGUUUUUUGUCAAAUGUUUUCAUCGGAGCAAUUUUCAGGCGGUUUUCUGGUGGUCGAUAAACGUGGAUCUCCUAUUCCCUUUUGAUUUCUUUUCUGGGUGAGGAUAUUUAUGAUGUUGUGAUUAGAAAAGUGAAGGAAGAGACAGGGGGUGUCGAGCAUUGAGAGCAAGCCAAGCCGACCAUUGGGAGAAACCCGUAUACUUCACGUUGCAGCAGAUUUUCUGGUCCCCGUUUCAAUUCCUAAGGAGCCUACAGUUUCGUCAAUCCGUCGCUGCAUCCACAUACCACACGUUUCAAAUUACUAUUGACAGCACAGGUAAUGCUUCCGGUCAUCGUUGGAAAAGGCGUUGACGUUUGGGAUCACAGGCGUGACCUAAAUUUGUCUGGUACUUAUUCUUUUAAUUUUUCUUAUCUUUCAUACAAUACAAUACAGAUUGAAAUGCAGCGGAUUGUUCUGAAUAUUGGAGUUAGGUUCUUUAGCUAUGACCAAGCAUCUAAGUAUGCUAUGCACAUCAACUGGUGUGCAUAGUAUACGACUCUUACAUUUUUUAGGUACAUGCUGGUUUAAGGCCUUGGUCUGUUUGGUAUUGUAUCAAUAUUAUUCACAGGAAUUUUAAGUGCAUAUGACAUUUUUCCUGGGUUAUUUUCAUGUCUGUAUGAAAACAUUGUGGUGACUAUUUUGAUGUUUUGUUUUAGGUCAUGAAGCAUUGUGCGUAUUCAAAUUUGUCACGAAGUUCUCAAAGAUUUGUCUCUGCUUUUUUUGAGUUGAUAUCAUCAUUAGCGGAAACAUUUAUGUAAGAAUGGUUUCAUUUACAGCAUGUGUCAUCUCUCACUGGUAAGCUUCAGAGCUUCACCGGGGAUCUUGCCGAGGUUUAACUUCCAGUCUUUCAGUUCACCAAGAAAAUUUCGAGUACUGGCUUUCAAAGGACAUAAAUAAGUGUUUAUAUUUAUUAUUGUUUAUUUGCCUGAUAGGUCAAGGAUGAUAAGUAUUCGGCGAAAUAGGCUUCCAAGGUUAUGGAAGAUCUCCAAGAACACCACCACCACAUGGUCGGGAAGAUACCUCAAACUCUCGGUAAAAUUAGAACUUAAUUGAAAUUCGAAAGUAGUGAUCAUAGAAUGUUCUUAAAUUUUCUUAAGCGAGUUUUCUGAAUUGUUCAGUGGCAGUGGUCCUGCUUAUAUAAUUAGUUGGCUUUGAAUUUUAUUCUAAAUGGCUAUUGCAUUUUUGUAGUGUAAAUGAAACCAUUUUUGUAGUGUAUUUUCAAAAAAAUCAUCAAUGUCGACUUCGUGUCAGUGGUCCUGCUUAUAUAAUUAGUUGGCUUUGAAUUUUAUUCUAAAUGGCUAUUGCAUUUUUGUAGUGUAAAUGAAACCAUUUUUGUAGUGUAAAUGAAACCAUUUUUGUAGUUGGCUUUGAAUUUUAUUCUAAAUGGCUAUUGAAUUUUAUUCUAAACACCCCGCAAAUUAACCGCCGCAAUCUAGCGCAUUUUUGUAGUGUAUUUUCAAAAAAAUCAUCAAUGUCGACUUCGUGUCGGUUCCAUUGUAUUCCAUUUUAGACAUAAUUUAUCGAGAUCUCUUUAUUUUCACGAGUUUCAGCCUUUCAGGUACCUGAUCAAUCUCUUCUGGAGAUGAAAUGUUUAUUAUGUCUGAAGAUUCUUUUAGAUUUUCUAUAUCCUCACUUGCGUCAUCUUUAAUUUUAGCUUAUUUGCUUGGUAGAGGAUUAUU